AUAUUGUGUUGUGCGGUAAGAAGGUAUAAAGCAAAUAUUACCUCUUUAUAAUGCUUGUUAAUGAAAUAUGCUCAAGAAGAUCGCUAUACAUAUCAUUGUAUGUAGUUGGUGUGAUUGAAAUGAUAAUGAUAACCAUUUUGUUUAUUAUAAAUUUAUGUCAUAUUUAGAUGAUAAUGAAAGAUAUAUUUUAAGACAUUUUUAAACUCAGUUUGAAGCAAGACCUUUUAUCUGAUUAUUUGUCGAUACUAACAUUUUGAUUUGGUGAAUUACCCGUGUCCAAAAACACCAUUCUGCCAUGACUUCAGUAAAUACUGGAUUGUGAUUGGUUCAUUCAGAGGUACAUAAUCACGUUAUAUACCUCUGUUUUUCCAACACAGUAUGAAAUAUUUAAAAAUCUAAUCUUAAUAACACGGUUAUGGUAGAGUGGAGAUAAACACACUGUGUUGGAAAAUCAGAGGUAUAUAACGAAAUAUAAUAGCUACACGUUCAGUUUUAAAUCAGAUUUAGAGCUAUUAUAAUUUUGUUAUAUACCUCUAAGUUUGAAAAACAUUAUGUUUAUCUCCUAAUUAUUGUUAGCCAUCAACGUUUUAAAUUAAGUAUACAAUAAUAAUUAUUCUGGUUAAUUUGCAAAUUAUACAUUAAUACCAUGCUGUCAUCACUUUAUACAAUUGUUGAUCUGGAACUGGGUCAUGAGUUAUAUAGAGAAUAUAUAAAAUUAGUCAACAUCAGUUCUAUUACUCAUAACCAAUCACUGAUCAGUAAUAAAUCAAUAGUUCAAGGAAAGGAGGAUAUUAUUGCCAUAAGGAAAGAAUGACAGCCCACACAGUUCCUUCCUUCCUUCCAAUGCAGGGUCUGUGUGGAGGUAACAAUAGCAUUAACUAGGAUUGGCGCUUUGUAAACCUAUUAUUAAUCCUAAUCGUGUCUCUUCCUGGAUGUUCUAAGAAUGAUACUCAUGACAUAAAAAUAGACUAUAAAUUGUAUUUAAUUCCUUGUGUCAUUUUGAAGGUAUAUUAAUUUAUGUGAUAAUGAGUUUCCUUUACAAGAGGAUUGGUCAAAAAUCAUAUAGAUCUUUGUAGGAAUGUUUGAAUUUUUCAAAUUGAUUACAGUGAUGUGUUGUGGCACAGACAUGGAUCAUGCCAGAAUGGUAAAUUAGAACGUUUGUAAUAAAACCCCUCUCUAUGUGAUGAUAUGACAAUUGUUGAAACCCUUGAGGUGACAAUAUAAUAACAUUGUUGGCACCACAGGAGGUCUAUGAGGUGACAGUAUCAUUGUCAUAUUAUAACAUUGUUGGCAGCACAGGAGGUCUAUGAGGUGACAGUAUCAUUGUCAUAUUAUAUCAUUGGUGGCACCACAGAACGUCUAUUAGGUGACAGUAUCAUUGUCAUAUUAUAACAUUGUUGGCAGCACAGGAGGUCUAUGAGGUGACAAUAUUAUAACAUUGUUGGCAGCACAGGAGGUCUAUGAGGUGACAAUAUUAUGACAUUGUUGGCAGCACAGGAGGUCUAUGAGGUGACAAAAGUAUAACAUUGUCGGCACCACAGGAGGUCUAUGAGGUGACAAUAUUAUGACGUUG